rnacentral:sRNA from 1 species
GCUGGGUGUGGUGGAGUACACCUGUAAUCCCAGAGAUUCGAGAGGCUGAGGCAGGAGGAUUGCAAGUUCAAGGUCAGACUCAGUAAUUCAGUGAGACCCUGUCUCAA